rnacentral:tRNA from 1 species
GCCUAAGUGGCGGAACUGGUAGACGCGUACGACUCAAAAUCGUAUGCCCUCGGGCGUGCCGGUUCGAUUCCGGCCUUGGGUA